GGACUUAAAAGUCCUUGAGAUUUCAGUUUGCAAGACUGAAGGGGCAAUAUAUUCAUUCUAUUGCUUAAGUCUU
rnacentral:tRNA from 1 species